rnacentral:rRNA from 1 species
GACGUAGGGGGCCAGCGUUGUUCGGAAUUACUGGGCGUAAAGGGCUCGUAGGCGGCCAACUAAGUCAGACGUGAAAUCCCCAGGCUCAACCUGGGAACUGCGUCUGAUACUGGAUGGCUUGAAUCCGGGAGAGGGAUGCAGAAUUCCAGGUGUAGCGGUGAAAUGCGCAGAUAUCAGGAAGAACACCUAUGGCGAAGGCAGCUCUCUGGGCCGGUACUGACGCUGAGGAGCGAAAGCGUGGGGAGCGAACAGG